CUGCGCAGUAGUUGUGGUGCCGGUGACGAGAGUGUUAGAUAUGGCGAGCGUGAACUCAGCGACGCUGAUGAAGAAAGCUGAUCUAGGGUUAUUGGAAGAAGAUGACGAAUUUGAAGAGUUUCCUGCAGAAGAGUGGACAGCUGUGGAUGAAGACCAGGCUGACAUACAUGUUUGGGAGGAUAAUUGGGAUGAUGAUACUGUAGAGGAUGACUUCUCAAAUCAGCUAAGGGCAGAACUGGAAAAGAAUGGUCACCAAGUGGAGCAAGCAGAGCCAAUGAAAACAUGAGAAAAGUGAAGACAAAUUCUGUUUCACUGCUUCAACGUAACUUUUCAAUGUAAAUAUUGACUAUUGUAUGAAACCGCAGGAGUAAAGGAAACCUUUUGUUUAAGAAACCUCUUUCAUUCUAAGUUGUGGUGACGAGUUAGGAAAAGAUGAGAUUUAAGGCAUAGGUACAUUUAUUCCAAUUACACAGCAAAUGAAAGUAAUUUAAGGAGCUAUUAGUACUAUGAUCAAAGUUUAAUCCCUACAAAUUAUAGGUGUUACGGAAAUUCUCGGGAAAGAUUGAAAAUGGUGUUCUCCAAUAUUAAGCAACAGGGCCUAACUUGGUCAAAUGGUGGCUCUAAAUGUGGUGCAGUUACUAUUUUCAUUGUUCAAUACAUUGUUCCUAUUUCCAGUCCUUCCUAAUUUGCAUGAAAUUGUUACAGUUUGUGCUAUUAUAUAAUAAAGGGGGUAAGUUUGGAAAGAAA